rnacentral:rRNA from 1 species
GACGAACGCUGGCGGCGUGCCUAACACAUGCAAGUCGAGCGAUGAAAUUAGAAACGGAGUCUUCGGACGAAGUGGAAAAUGGAUUAGCGGCGGACGGGUGAGUAACACGUGAGCAACCUGCCUAUCACAUCGGGAUAGCCUCGGGAAACUGGGAUUAAUACCGAAUGAAACAUAAUCACUGCCUAGUGGAAAUGUCAAAGAUUUAUCGGUGAUAGAUGGGCUCGCGUCUGAUUAGCUAGUUGGUGAGGUAAUGGCUCACCAAGGCGACGAUCAGUAGCCGGCCUGAGAGGGUGAACGGCCACAUUGGGACUGAGACACGGCCCAAACUCCUACGGGAGGCAGCAGUGGGGAAUAUUGCACAAUGGAGGGAACUCUGAUGCAGCGACGCCGCGUGAGCGAUGAAGGCUUUCGAGUCGUAAGGCUCUGUCGAAUGGGAAGAUAAUGACGGUACCAUUUGAGAAAGCCCCGGCUAACUACGUGCCAGCAGCCGCCGCUAA